rnacentral:ncRNA from 1 species
GGAAAAACAAUGACCAGGAGAGUAGGAAAGAAGCGACUCUUUCAGGGAGGUUGCACCAGGGACUGAAAGUGCAGCCAGAGUCGGCUUUCUGAAGUUCACCUGGUAGUUGCAGUGCUGAAAGCUGUUUGGCGAGUAGGUGCUGCCGGGAUUCCCGUUAUCGAGGAAUUUCGCUAUAAAAAGAGGGCCUGUUUCGGGCCAAGAAGGGUGGUACCGCGCGGGUUUUCCAACCUCCGUCCCUUUU